rnacentral:rRNA from 98 species
GACCUCGGAUCAGGUAGGGAUACCCGCUGAACUUAA